UACGUAGGGGGCAAGCGUUGUCCGGAUUUAUUGGGCGUAAAGAGCGUGUAGGCGGCUUUACAGGUCCGUUGUGAAACUCGAGGCUCAACCUCGAGACGCCGGUGGAAACCGUAAGGCUAGAGUCCGGAAGAGGAGAGUGGAAUUCCUGGUGUAGGCGGUGAAAUGCGCAGAUAAUCAGGAAGAACACCCGUGGCGAAGGCGGCUCCUCGUGG
rnacentral:rRNA from 1 species